AGUUAACAGAGUUGGUUAAUCUCGUGCCAGCCACCGCGGUUAUACGAGUAACUCACAUUAACACACCCCGGCGUAAAGAGUGAUUAAAGAAUGACCUUUAACUACUAAAGUUUAGACCUCAUAAAACUGUUAUACGUAUUCAUGAGUGGAAUAAACAACAACGAAAGUGACUUUACAAACUAAGGAACCUUGAUGUCACGACAGUUGGGACCCAAACUAGGAUUAGAUACCCUACUAUGCUCAACCACAAACUUAAACAACAUCCUACUAUAUUGUUCGCCAGAGUACUACAAGCGCUAGCUUAAAACCCAAAGGACUUGGCGGUAUCCCAUACCCACCUAGAGGAGCCUGUUCUAUAACCGAUAAUCCCCGUUCAACCUCACCACUUCUUGCCAUUACCGUCUAUAUACCGCCGUCGUCAGCCCACCCUGUGAAGGACUAAAAGUAAGCAAAAAGAAUAAAACUCCAAAACGUCAGGUCGAGGUGUAGCAAAUGAAGUGGGAAGAAAUGGGCUACAUUUUCUUCUAAAAAUAUACGAAUGGUAAACUGAAAACACACCUAAAGGUGGAUUUAGCAGUAAGAGGAGAUCAGAACGCUCCUCUGAAACCGGCUCUGGGAUAAGCACACACCGCCCGUCACUCUCCUCAAAAACAACUUACCCCUUUCCAUAAAUACAUUCCUUCAAUAAGAGGAGGCAAGUCGUAACAUGGUAAGUGUACUGGAAAGUGCACUUGGAAU
rnacentral:rRNA from 1 species